AGAGAGAGAGCGGGCAGCCCCCAGACUCAGUCCUGUGGAGGCCAGUAGGCUGACUGGCUGGCUGCCCGUGUAAUAGGAUUACUGCCUGCCCUCCCUCCUGUCCCCCAGUAGCACAAUGACCUCGCCGUGCUCCCCUAUAGACUACCUACCAGUUCAUCCGCCGUGCGACCAGGGUCGCCCUCACACACAUUAGCAAGCAUGGAUCUCCUCAGAUCUGGCAGUGUUCCGACAGAUCUGAUUCUGCGCUGAGCUCAGCUCAUCUCAGCUGGCUGGACAGAGACAAGCUGGACAGAGACAGAGCUGCAAGAGCAACAUUGGCAUCAGUGCGUGAGAGACGACUAGCCUGCGAACGACAGAAUCAUCGGACUGCUGACAUAACAACUGUACUUGCUGGCUGCUACUAGCUGACAAGAUUAAAGCCCGGCCCCCAAAUCCCACGGCCACUGCAGCCUGGCACCCAGCUCCCACCAACUCAGCCAAGCAGUAAAAGACAAUUUAGGACUUCUGCUACUGAUGCCAAACUCUACCCCAGGCCUGGAACUGGACAAAAAAAGAAAGGGACAGAUUCCAAAAGGCGAGGAAAAGGAUGCCAACAGAAGCACAAUUAGCUCAUCUACUCAAUAAUCUCCACACAGUGAGUACCAGUAGG